rnacentral:rRNA from 3 species
UCAUCUGACCUCAAAUCAGGUAGGACUACCCGCUGAACUUA